GCUAAACGCGAAGAACCUUACCAGGGCUUGACAUCCCUCUGACCGGAUUAGAGAUAGUCCUUUCUCUUCGGAGACAGAGGAGACAGGUGGUGCAUGGUUGUCGUCAGCUCGUGUCGUGAGAUGUUGGGUUAAGUCCCGCAACGAGCGCAACCCUUGCCUUAGUUGCCAUCAGGUAAAGCUGGGCACUCUAGAGGGACUGCCGGUGACAAACCGGAGGAAGGUGGGGAGUGACGUCAAAUCAUCAUGCCCCUUACUGUCCUGGGCGUACACACGUGCUACAAUGGUCGGUACGAACGGGAAGCGAGACUGCGAAGUUUAGCCAAUCCCAACUAAGCCGAUCCCAGUUCGGAUUGUAGGCUGCAACUCGCCUACAUGAAGUCGGAGUUGCUAGUAAUCGCGAAUCAGCACGUCGCGGUGAAUGCGUUCCCGGGUCUUGUACACACCG
rnacentral:rRNA from 1 species